UUAUAUUUAGUUUUAUAAUUCCUGACUAUUUUAUUAUAUAACUUGACAUGUUCAUCAAAGAAAAAAUCGAAAGAAGUUAAAAGAAAGAGAACCGCUCCUGAGGAAUAUUUUUUCCACCACAUAAUUUUAAAUCCUUAAUCAUGAAUUAACUUGCUACUCUCAUUUUAUCUCUUUGGGGAGAGAAAGAAUAAGUUAUCAAGAAUCACCAUCAUUGUUUUACACACACACACAGUGAUUUUUAUUUAUCGUUUUUAGUUUGGAUUUGUUGUUUAAGUUUAUUGCUCUUCAUUACUUCACGUAAAGACACUUGCCACUGGAAUCAUUUCUUGUUGCCUGAAAUACAUCCUAGACAAUUUCCUUUAGUGUGGGUCUCCUGCAGUGAAAUCUCCCAGUUUUUAUUUAUCUCAAUGCCAUUUUUCCUCCGAACUUGACAGAUAUUGUCACUGGUUACAGAAUUCUAACUUGGCCAUUUUUUUUCAGCAGAUGGAAGACAUUUUACUGUCUCUGGCUGUCAGAUGUCAGUCAUUUGAAGUCUCUGUAGGUAGAGUUCCUGGCAUACCAUCUACCUGAAUCCUCUGUGUCAGGGGCUUACUGGGAUGUAAUGCAGGUUGAAAGUUUCAGUUUCUUGAUGGAGACAAUACUCAGAUCCUGAGGCCAC